rnacentral:rRNA from 1 species
AAUUAGGGUUCGAUUCCGGGAGAGGGGAGCCUGAGAAACGGCUACCACAUCCAAGGAAGGCAGCAGGCGCGCAAAUUACCCAAUCCCGACACGGGGAGGUAGUGACAAUAAAUACUGAUACAGGGCUCUUUUGGGUCUUGUAAUUGGAAUGAGUACAAUUUAAACCUCUUAACGAGGAACAAUUGGAGGGCAAGUCUGGUGCCAGCAGCCGCGGUAAUUCCAGCUCCAAUAGCGUAUAUUAAAGUUGUUGCAGUUAAAAAGCUCGUAGUUGAAACUUGGGCCUGGCUGGCGGGUCCGCCUCACCGCGUGCACUCGUCCGGCCGGGCCUUCCUUCUGAAGAACCUCAUGCCCUUCACUGGGCGUGCUGGGGAAUCAGGACUUUUACUUUGAAAAAAUUAGAGUGUUCAAAGCAGGCCUUUGCUCGAAUACGUUAGCAUGGAAUAAUAAAAUAGGGCGUGCGUUUCUAUUUUGUUGGUUUCUAGAGACGCCGCAAUGAUUAACAGGAACAGUCGGGGGCAUCAGUAUUCAGUUGUCAGAGGUGAAAUUCUUGGAUUUACUGAAGACUAACUACUGCGAAAGCAUUUGCCAAGGAUGUUUUCAUUAAUCAGUGAACGAAAGUUAGGGGAUCGAAGACGAUCAGAUACCGUCGUAGUCUUAACCGUAAACUAUGCCGACUAGGGAUCGGGCGAUGUUCUUUUUCUGACUCGCUCGGCACCUUACGAGAAAUCAAAGUUUUUGGGUUUGUGGGGGAUAUGUCGAACG